UGAUGACGAGACGCUAAGGCGUUGAAGCAGUCUAUGUCAUACUUCCAAGAAAAGCUCGCAAUGUCAUAAACAAAUAAUGCCUGUACCAUAACCGACACAGGUGGGUAGGUAGAGUAUACUAAGGGGCGCGAGAUAACUCUCUCUAAGGAACUCGGCAAAAUGACUCCGUAACUUCGGGAGAAGGAGUGCCUUAUUUAUAAGGUUGCAAUAACAAGAUCCAAGCAACUGUUUAUCAAAAACACAGGUCUCCGCUAAGUCGUAAGACGAUGUAUGGGGGCUGACGCCUGCCCAGUGCCAGAAGGUUAAAGAAGUUGGUUAGUGUAUGCGAAGCUGAUGACUGAAGCCCUGGUGAACGGCGGCCGUAACAAUAACGGUCCUAAGGUAGCGAAAUUCCUUGUCGGGUAAGCUCCGACCCGCACGAAAGGCGUAAUGAUUUGGAUACUGUCUCGGAGAGAGGCUCGGUGAAAUAGACUUGUCUGUGAAGAUGCGGACUACCUGCACCAGGACAGAAAGACCCUAUGAAGCUUUACUGUAACUUGAAAUUGGAAUUGGACUUUGCUUGCGCAGUAUAGGUGGGAAGCGUUGAAAAUAUUCUUGCGGGAGUAUUGGAGCUAUCAGUGAGAUACCACUCUUGUAAUGUUAGAUUUCUAACUUUGAACCAUAAUCUGGUCAAAGAACAGUUUCAGGUGGGCAGUUUGACUGGGGCGGUCGCCUCCCAAAUGGUAACGGAGGCGUACAAAGGUUUCCUCUGAACGGAUAGAAAUCGUAUCUAGAGUGUAAAGGCAUAAGGAAGCUUGACUGUGAGACCUACAAGUCGAGCAGGGACGAAAGUCGGUCUUAGUGAUCUGACGGUACUGAGUGGAAAGGCCGUCACUCAACGGAUAAAAGUUACUCUAGGGAUAACAGGCUGAUCUCCCCCAAGAGUUCACAUCGACGGGGAGGUUUGGCACCUCGAUGUCGGCUUAUCGCAUCCUGGGGCGGUAGUACGUCCCAAGGGUUGGGCUGUUCGCCCAUGAAAGCGGUACGCGAGCUGGGUUCAGAACGUCGAGAGACAGUUCGGUCCAUAUCCGGUGUAGGCGCUAGAAUAUUGAGAGGAGCCUUCUUUAGUACGAGAGGACCGAGAAGGACACACCGCUGGUGUACCAGUUAUCGUGCCAACGGUAAACGCUGGGUAGCUAUGUGUGGAGUGGAUAACCGCUGAAAGCAUCUAAGUGGGAAGCCCACCUCGAGCUGAGUA
rnacentral:rRNA from 1 species